CCAGGAGAAAUCGGCAGAAAAGCCUGAUGAAGCAACGGCCGACGAGCCCCCACCACCACCUACGAGAAGAAGUGAGCGACCUCGCAAACUCUCGGUACCCUCUUACAAAGAGCCCAAUGUUAACAGGAAAAUGCGACGCCAGUGAUUGGCAGGACAGCACCUUCCAGAGUCCAGACGAUCAGCUUGUGUGACAACACACAAUCUGUUGAUCAAUUUUAGUUUAAAAUAUUUUAUAGUUACUCCAACAGAGCGACUCCAUUAUAGUCUGUUGCAGGUUAAAAAAAGCAGCACCUGCUCCUCCCCCGAAGCUCUC
rnacentral:lncRNA from 1 species